AGCUCGUUCGGGAAACGUGUGUGCUCCGUGUGCGUGGAAGUGUUCGAAAACAGUUAUAACAAAAUAUUAAGCAAAGCUUGCGAAUAUCGUGCGUGUGCGGUGGCCCAUUUCUGUGGUCCGGUGUGAGAGUGUUCCAUUUUUUUCCGGUGCGACAAGAAAAACGUCGAAAAUUAGCCGAAAAAUUAUCAUCCACCGAUUACAUUGAUCGCCCGGCGAUCGGAUGGAUGAAUCGCUGGAUGGGUGGUGAUGAAAAGAAGCAAAAUAAAUUACAAAAAAAAAAAGAGGUGAAAUAGGAAGUCAACAGAAGUGUGCAAAGCACAGUGACAGUGAAGUUUGAAGCAGAAGCGGAAAAGAUAAUGAUUGUCGGUGGCCACGGUGUGCGCUGAAGCUGGAAGUUUUAUUGAGUGGCGAAACGCAAGGAAUCCCGUAUACUUUUGCAGACGGAAGCGGUGAUUGUAAAACUCCAAUCGGAAUCCUGGAAGAAAGUCGAAUUUUGGCAUCAUUUUCACUAUCGACCGAUCCGGCUGUAAAAAGAUCACACUUGGCCGCAACAAGUUCCAUCAUCUUCUCUGCUGAGCACGCCGGUUGGCAGCCUUGAGCCGGCCACAAACCAUGUAACAGUGCUUUUGUUUCGGCAUGCAAUACUUCUUCCACUAGAGACGUGUGUUUGAG